CACGCCCUAAACGAUGAUUACUCGACAUACGCGAUACACUGUGUGUGUCUGAGCGAAAGCAUUAAGUAAUCCACCUGGGAAGUACNUACGCGAGGAACCUUACCUGGGCUAGAAUGCCACUUGACCGAUCCUGAAAGGGGUUUUUGUAGCAAUACACAGGUGGUAAGGUGC
rnacentral:rRNA from 1 species